rnacentral:lncRNA from 1 species
UGAAUUUUUCCUUAUUUUUUCCUGUUUUUCCCUUAUUUUCCCCUUAUUUCUCUUUUUUUCCCUUACAAUCCUUUCUUUUUCCUCAUUUUUCCCCUUAUUUUCCCUUAUUCCCCCUUUUUUUCCUUUUCUCCCUCGUUUUUUCCUUUCUUUCUUUUUUUUUCCCCUAUUUUUCCUCAUUUCCCCCUUUUUUCCCCUUAUUUCCCCUUUUUCCCCUUAUUUUUCCGGAUUUUUCCCUGAUUUUUCCUUUUUUCCCCUUAUUUUUCCUUCCCCCUCCCCAUUAUUUUUCCUUCCUUUUCUUUUUUCCCCUCAUUUUUUCCUUUUUCCCCUUAUUUUUCCUUUCCUUUUCCCCUAUUUUUCCUCAUUUCCUUUUUUCCUCCUUUUUCUUAUUUCCAUUUUCCCAAUUUUUUCCAUUUUUUUCCUUUUAUCUCAUAAUUUUCCAUUCUUUUUUUCUUAAUUUCCUUUCCCCCCUUUUUUUCCCAAUUAUUUUCCUUAUUUUCCCUCAUUUUUUCCUAUAUUCCCUGUUUUUAUUUUUUCCUUUAUUUUCUUCCCUUAUUUUUUCAUAUUUUUCCCUUUUUUCCUUUUUUUUUCCAUAUUUCCCCAUUUUUUUCCCUUAUUUUUCCCUUUUCCAUUUUUUCCCCUAUUAAAAAUUUCUCUUUUCCUCAUUUCUCCUUUUUUUCCCAUUUUCCUUUUUUUAUUUCUUAUUUUCCUGUCUCCCUUUUUCAAAUUAUUUUCCCCAUUUUUUCUUUUUUUUUUCCUGAUUUUUCCUUAUUUUUUCGAAUUUCCCCUUUUUAUUUUUUUUACACUCUUUUUUCUUCCCCUUUUUCCUUUUUUCCCCCAUAUUUUCCUUUUUUUUUCCUUUAUUUUUUCUCUUUCCUUUAUUUUUCCUUAUUUUUCCUUUUCUUUCUUUCUUUUUCCCCCU